rnacentral:rRNA from 1 species
GACGAACGCUGGCGGCGUGCUUAACACAUGCAAGUCGAACGAUGAACCCGGAGCUUGCUCCGGCGGAUUAGUGGCGAACGGGUGAGUAACACGUGAGUAACCUGCCCUUGACUCUGGGAUAACUGCUAGAAAUGGUAGCUAAUACCGGAUACGACCCUCGGUGGCAUCACCAGGGGGUGGAAAGAAUUUCGGUCAAGGAUGGAUUCGCGGCCUAUCAGUUAGUUGGUGAGGUAGCGGCUCACCAAGGCGACGGCGGGUAGCCGGCAUGGGAGGGUGACCGGCCACACUGGGACUGAGACACGGCCCAGACUCCUACGGGAGGCAGCAGUGGGGAAUAUGGCACAAUGGGCGCAAGCCUGAUGCAGCAACGCCGGGUGGGGGAUGCCGGCCUUCGGGUUGUAAACCUCUUUUAGUAGGGAAGAAGCGAAAGUGACGUUACCUGCAGAAAAAGCACCGGCUAACUACGUGCCAGCAGCCGCCGUAA